AAUAGAUACCCAGGUAGUCCACGCCGUAAACGAUGUCAACUAGCCGUUGGAAUCCUUGAGAUUUUAGUGGCGCAGCUAACGCAUUAAGUUGACCGCCUGGGGAGUACGGCCGCAAGGUUAAAACUCAAAGGAAUUGACGGGGACCCGCACAAGCGGUGGAGCGUGUUCUUUAAUUCGAGGCUAAGCGAAGAACCUUACCAGGGCUUGACAUCCUUGGAAUUUCUCCGAAAGGAGAGAGUACUUUAUUGGACCAAGUGACAGGUGCUGCAUGGCCGUCGUCAGCUCGUGUCGUGAGAUGUUUGGUUAAGUCCAUUAACGAGCGCAACCCUUAUGAAUAGUUGUAUUUUUCUAUUCAGACUGCCCCGGUAACGGGGAGGAAGGGGGGGUAUGAUGUCAGGUCAGUAUUGCCCUUACGCCUGGGCUAGAAACGCGCUACAAUGGCCGGUACAAUGCGCUGCCAACCCGCGAGGGGGAGCAAAUCGCAUCAAAGCCGGUCCCAGUUCGGAUAAGAGGCUGAAACUCGCCUCUUUGAAGCCGGAAUCGCUAGUAAUCGU
rnacentral:rRNA from 1 species